GCAAAAUUGUUAUUUACCCUCCAAAGGGAAGUUUAUUUGAUCCUAAGGAGAACAUAAUCAUAGGUAAUGUGGCUCUUUAUGGUGCUACCAGUGGUGAGGCCUAUUUCAAUGGGAUGGCAGCCGAAAGGUUUUGUGUACGUAAUUCAGGGGCAAAGGCUGUUGUGGAGGGUGUUGGUGAUCAUGGAUGCGAAUAUAUGACUGGUGGCACUGUUGUCAUUCUUGGGAAAACUGGAAGAAAUUUUGCUGCUGGUAUGAGUGGAGGUGUUGCUUAUGUUCUUGACAUGGAUGGAGAAUUUGAAUCCCGAUGCAAUCUAGAGCUUGUGGAUCUUGAUAAAGUUGAAGAAGAGGAUGAUAUUUUGACUCUAAAAAUGAUGAUACAGCAGCAUCAGCGUCACACAUCAAGCAAUUUAGCCAAAG
rnacentral:misc_RNA from 1 species